UUAAUGUCAGUAUGAAUGUUUAAUAAUUAUACAUAUAGUACAUGUAAAAUUAAUAAUCUUUCAUUAUUUAUAUGUUCUUUUACAAUAUCAUCUGGUUUAUUCUUAUGAAAUCAUUCUCAAUAGUAUUUAUUUUUUGUUAUUGCAAAAGUUCACUUGUAAUUACUUAAACAAACAAAUGUUUAUAUUUUUAUUUUGAUACUAUAUAUACAUAUGUAUGUACGCAUACACACACACACACACACACAUAUAUAUAUAUAUAUAUACAUAAAUAUAUGAAAUGCAUGUUUUAGUAUCAUUAGAAAAAUAGUUAAUUUUUCUUUCAAUAGAUAGAUAAAUAUGAUACUGUGUACAGAUAGAUACGAUACAAUGAUGACUAAAGUGUUACACAUAAUAUUGUAUAGAACCAAGUAUUGUGGUCAUGGAUGUAUGUAUUGUCAGAAAGUUGAAGAAAAUUGCUUCUACAGGUGAAACUGAUGAGAAACGAUAUUGAGACAAAUAUAACCCUAAUACUGAAAAAGCAUAAAUAUUAUAUGGUGAUAUAGUGGAAAGCAAUUAAAAGUAUCUACAUAAUACAUACUAAUAUACAGAAAAAUGAAUAUUUUACAUAUAGAAGCAAUGAAAAUGUGGAAAAAAAAACACCUAAUUGUGUUUCAUAUGGUUACCAUAAUAUUACUAUUAUAAAAGUGUGAAAAAGCAAUGACUUUAAAUAUCAAUGGAAUAACAUCAAGAUUUAAAUUGAUAUUAUUAUGAAUGAUACAAUUUUAUAUAAAACAGUAAGCUAUAACUUCUAGUAGUAAAUAUUCGUAUGAUACAAUUCCUAUAUGGUUCAUAUGAAACACAUAAAGCUUUGCACAUAAAGACUAAUUCUCUGUUUUCAGAGAAUUCUGUCAUCAUUCCGCAUUCACAAUUGGAAGAACAUUCCUCUUGUAUUUCCAAGAAGCUAAUUAUAAUGAAAAAUUAAA